rnacentral:pre_miRNA from 1 species
UUCAUACUCCCUCCGUCCCAAAAAGCUUGUCUUAGAUUUGUUAAGAUACAGAUGUAGUGUCCCAAAAAUCUUGUCUUACAUUUAUCUAAAUACGGAUGUCCGUAAGGUACAGAUAUCUGUACGUAGACAAAUCUAAGACAAGUUUUUUGGGACGGAGGUAAUAGAAG